GAGUGGUUACCGGUUAUGUUUAGACAAACCAGAAGAUUCCGAGAAACUAAAGGUAUUUUGGUAAAUACAUUCGCUGAGCUUGAGCCUCAAGCUAUGAAGUUUUUCUCCGGCGUAGAUAGUCCUCUGCCUACGGUGUACACAGUUGGACCGGUUAUGAAUCUUAAAAUCAACGGUCCAAAUUCAUCUGACGAUAAGCAAUCGGAGAUCCUACGGUGGCUAGACGAGCAGCCACGUAAAUCCGUUGUUUUCCUCUGUUUCGGAAGCAUGGGAGGUUUCCGUGAGGGCCAAGCUAAAGAAAUCGCAAUCGCGCUUGAGCGAAGUGGUCACCGCUUUGUCUGGUCUCUUCGUCGUGCUCAACCAAAAGGAUCGAUAGGACCUCCCGAAGAAUUUACGAAUCUUGAGGAAAUUCUCCCGGAAGGAUUCUUGGAACGGACGGCAGAGAUAGGAAAGAUUGUAGGUUGGGCUCCACAAAGCGCCAUUCUAGCAAAUCCUGCGAUCGGAGGGUUCGUGUCGCAUUGUGGAUGGAACUCGACGCUAGAGAGUCUAUGGUUCGGAGUUCCGAUGGC
rnacentral:sRNA from 1 species